UACGUAGGGAGCAAGCGUUGUCCGGAAUCAUUGGGCGUAAAGCGCGUGUAGGCGGCUUGAUAAGUCUGCUCUGAAAGCCCGGGGCUCAACCUGGGAGGCGGGUGGAUACUGUCGAGCUCGAGUCCGGAAGAGGCGAGUGGAAUUCCUGGUGUAGCGGUGAAAUGCGCAGAUAUCAGGAGGAACACCAAUGGCGAAGGCAGCUCGCUGGGACGGUACUGACGCUGAGACGCGAAAGCGUGGGGAGCAAACAGG
rnacentral:rRNA from 1 species